AGCCAUGGUUUCGCUUCCAUAGUCACUAAUUAAAGUGAAUCAUAAUUAUUUCUGCUAAUUUGGAUUCGAUUGGAGGAGUUUUUAGGCUGUGGUAAUUUGGUCAUUACACAUUAUCUUCUACUGCGCCUGAGAUGCUCAGAGUGUCGACUUUUGUUCUCUAUCCAAAAGCCGCUCAUGGUGCUUCCACGGUUUUCUGAAGUGUCAUUUGGCCAGUGGAUGCAGCACAGGGCUUUCUGCCCUGAGAGGCAGCAGCUGUUUCAGAUGUGGGUUCUGUCCCUUUAGGGUGAGACAUGAAAAAGUGGUGGCUUUGCAGGGAGGGCUGCGGUUCAGAGGCCUGCCUAGGGCAGGUUUCCUCACUUCCCAGUUCGCCUUCAGAAGCAACCACACUCCGCCUGCCCAGGGAAACACUGGUGCGCAACCUGGCGCCUGCCAUGAGUGGCAGAGCUUGUCUUCAAGCCCUAUGGGAGCCAGGGCAGGCAGCAAGGGCCCUGGCCCCCACUUCUGGUUCGUCCAUGGCUCUUGUGUGGCUCUGCCAGGCCCAGAGUUUGGGUCCUCUGCUCUUCAUUCACAGCAAGGGAUGCUGAAAUUGAAGCAACUCCUGACAGAUAGAUCCAACCUUCCCAUUUUGGCAUAUGGUCCGUUGGUGUUCUGUUCCCUGGAUAUAUUUUUGUCUCGACAGCUAGAGUGACUUUCUGGGGAGGAAGGGGAUGUGUUGCCAGGUCCAGGGUGGGAGGAUGUGCCCCUUACUCCCACCCCUCACUCCCACCCUACUACAGGUGGCUCAGAGGCCGGGCCCUCCCCCGCCCCCUACCCCAGCCCACUUCUGCACAGAUCAAUCCACACAUCCUGUCCCCACCUCCCUCCUCUGUGGGGCACCCUCACUGUUCCCACUGAGCUCAACAGUGUCUGCCUGGGACAGCCCCUCCUCCCAGGUUCUGUCCUGAAAGUUCUUUUCAUCUUCCUCUACCUCCUGGGUCUCAAACUGUAACCUGAUCUAUGACAUUCAAAAAUUUUUUGUAUUGACCAAUUUUUUUUUUUUUUUUUUGAGACGGAGUUUCACUCUUGUUGUCCAGGCUGGAGUGCAGUGGCACGAUCUCGGCUCACCACAACCUCUGCCUCCCGGGUUCAAGCAAUUCUCCUGCCAUGGCCUCCCAAGUAGCUGGGAUUACAGACAUGCACCACCACGCCUGGCUAAUUUUUUAUUUUUAGUAGAGACGGAGUUUCACCGUGUUGGUCAGGGUGAUCUCAAACUCCCGACCUCAGGUGAUCUGCCCACCUCGGCCUCCCAAAGUGCUGGAAUUACAGGCGUGAGCCACCAUACCCAGCCUUGACCAAUAUGUUAAAAUCAAGAUAUUUCACAGAAAACCCGGUUUGCAGGUUCUCUCAGCAGCCCCAGGCCUGCCACAUUCCGUACCCCACGCGGCUGCAGUGAGCUGGAGCCGUGGUUGGCUGCCCCGCAGUGGGGUUUCCCAGCAACCAUCAUGACACCUGCCUGGGAGUGAGACUCUGCAGCUUCCAUUUCUGCCCUUUCUGAGGCCCCUCUGCUUUGUCCUGGCCCAGACCUCUCCCCCCAGCCCUACAUCUGGCUGCCUCCAGGACACAUCCCCAUUCACUCGCAAACCAGACUCAGCCUCUGCCCCGGGCUGCUCCUCUUCUGUGUUCUGCCAUCCUGAAGCCAGAAGGACCACCUUGGCUGCUCUGUCCUGUGCCCGACCCAUCCAUUCCAGGCCCCUAGCUCACUUUCCAGAUGGCCCUGGGUGCACCCCACAUCUCCAGCUCCCUUGGCCCAGGCCCCCUCCUCUGCAUCAGCCCUGCUGUGGUUUCAGCCACCCUCCUCGUCUGAGGCCAGGUGUGACUCCUCUUAUGCCCUCCACUGCCUCAGGAAGUCUGAACGUCACCUUGUACCACCUCCCGCCCCCCUGCCCCCGCCACCCUUAGCUCCAGCUCUGCCCCAGCCACAACCCCGAUGAGGGGCUCCUGUACCCCUGGCCCCUGCUUGUCUUGGUCCCACACUGGGUGUGGCCACACCACCUCAUGGAGCUCCCUCAGCGGCCAGCCACACAAUCCUCUCUUCCCUUCAUGGGCUCCUCUGCCCUCGUGCCCAGGGUCUUGUCUGUCCAUCAGACAGAGCACCAGGACAGCAGAGCUGUGGUGUGCCCAGCACACGCGGAUCCCAGCGCGGAGAAGUGAAGUACGUGGGGCUGCCUUGGGGACAGGCCCAGCCGGAGAGGGGCCGGGACGCUGGAGGGACUCGCUGCAGAAAUCAGCGGUCCCCUCCUUCCCGGAAGGCCCUCAUGGUUUCCCGUAUGGGACUUCAGAGCCUUCAGGGAAAUGUGGCUCUGUGAAGGAAGGGACUGGAAUCCCUUUUUCCUCACCUACAAUAGAGCCUUAUUCUGGACACCUCUUCCGUUGACAGUCUUUGCCCGCCAGGACUCAAAGGCACAGCCUUUCGUGUGAUUGCUUGUUUUUGCAAGAGAAACACAAGGCUCUGCGGCUCCCAAGGCCACGAGCCAGGAAUCAAUGAGGCCCAGCAAAUAAUCAAGUGGAUCUUGGUGAGAUCACACGGCAGAUGAGGAGGGAGAAGCGGGGCGGGAGGGAGCAGGACCUCGUCACUCCUCCGGCCAGUGGGUUCUUGUCGUGCAGGGCCCAGUCUGAGGCCUCCCUGCGAGUGUCCAACCCUGUCCGGGACACAGCGCGGGGCAGGUGACACCAAGUGUUGGAUGAGUGAGAGGCUGACGCCUUAAGACCAACAAACAGGCGGCCGGGGAGAAACCGCAAAGACACCAGCCCCUCAGAAAGCAGCGCAGAGCAGCGCACAGCAGCGCACGACAAACAGAUCCGACUGGAAGCUGCCUCUUAGACCAUGUGAGCCUGUGACCCCGGCCCACAACUCAACUUCUGGCCUCAGUGUGUUCAACGGUAAAAGCAGCAUCACUUU
rnacentral:lncRNA from 1 species